rnacentral:rRNA from 1 species
AUUGAACGCUGGCGGCAGGCCUAACACAUGCAAGUCGAGCGGAGCGGCGGACGGGGAGGUAAUGCCUAGGAAUCUGCCAGGGAGUGGGGGAUAACGUACGGAAACGGGCGCUAAUACCGCAUACUAUCAGAUGAGCCUAGGGCGGAUUAGCUAGUGGGUGGGGUAAAGGAUUACCAAGGCGACGAUCCGUAGCUGGUCUGAGAGGAUGAUCAGUCACACUGGAACUGAGACACGGUCCAGACUCCUACGGGAGGCAGCAGUGGGGAAUAUUGGACAAUGGGCGAAAGCCUGAUCCAGCCAUGCCGCGUGUGUGAAGAAGGUUUUCGGAUUGUAAAGCACUUUUAGUUGGGAGGCGUUACCAACAGAAUAAGCACCGGCUAACUACGUGCCAGCAGCCGCGGUAAUAC